UACAGAGGUCUCAAGCGUUGUUCGGAUUCAUUGGGCGUAAAGGGUGCGUAGGCGGCGCGGUAAGUCGGGUGUGAAAUCUUGGAGCUUAACUCCGAAACUGCAUUCGAUACUGCCGUGCUUGAGGACUGGAGAGGAGACUGGAAUUUACGGUGUAGCGGUGAAAUGCGUAGAUAUCGUAAGGAAGACCAGUGGCGAAGGCGGGUCUCUGGACAGUUCCUGACGCUGAGGCACAAAGGCCAGGGGAGCAAACGGG
rnacentral:rRNA from 1 species